rnacentral:rRNA from 1 species
UACAGAGGGUGCAAGCGUUAAUCGGAAUUACUGGGCGUAAAGCGUGCGUAGACGGUUAUGUAAGUCGGGUGUGAAAGCCCCGGGCUCAACCUGGGAAUUGCAUUCGAGACUGCAUAGCUAGGGUGCGGAAGAGGGAAGCGGAAUUUCCGGUGUAGCGGUGAAAUGCGUAGAUAUCGGAAGGAACACCAGUGGCGAAGGCGGCUCUCUGGGCCUUUCCUGGACGCUGAGACGCGAAAGCGUGGGGAGCGAACCGG